rnacentral:rRNA from 1 species
GCUCAGGACGAACGCUGGCGGCGUGCCUAAUACAUGCAAGUCGAACGCUUCUUUUCCCACCGGAGCUUGCUCCACCGGGAAAAGAGGAGUGGCGAACGGGUGAGUAACACGUGGGUAACCUGCCCAUCAGAAGGGGAUAACACUUGGAAACAGGUGCUAAUACCGUAUAACAAUCGAAACCGCAUGGUUUCGUUUUGAAAGGCGCUUUACGGUGCCGCUGAUGGAUGGACCCGCGGUGCAUUAGCUAGUUGGUGAGGUAACGGCUCACCAAGGCCACGAUGCAUAGCCGACCUGAGAGGGUGAUCGGCCACAUUGGGACUGAGACACGGCCCAAACUCCUACGGGAGGCAGCAGUAGGGAAUCUUCGGCAAUGGACGAAAGUCUGACCGAGCAACGCCGCGUGAGUGAAGAAGGUUUUCGGAUCGUAAAACUCUGUUGUUAGAGAAGAACAAGGGUGAGAGUAACUGUUCACCCCUUGACGGUAUCUAACCAGAAAGCCACGGCUAACUACGUGCCAGCAGCCGCGGUAAUACGUAGGUGGCAAGCGUUGUCCGGAUUUAUUGGGCGUAAAGCGAGCGCAGGCGGUUUCUUAAGUCUGAUGUGAAAGCCCCCGGCUCAACCGGGGAGGGUCAUUGGAAACUGGGAGACUUGAGUGCAGAAGAGGAGAGUGGAAUUCCAUGUGUAGCGGUGAAAUGCGUAGAUAUAUGGAGGAACACCAGUGGCGAAGGCGGCUCUCUGGUCUGUAACUGACGCUGAGGCUCGAAAGCGUGGGGAGCAAACAGGAUUA